UGAUUCCCCUAGUAACGGCGAGUGAAGAGGGAAAAGCUCAAAGUUGGAACCUGGCUGUCUUAGAUGGUCCGGAUUGUAAACUAAAGAGCGUGAAUCCAGGCAAGCCGGUUGACAAAGUCCUUUGGAAUGAGGCGCCACUGAGGGUGAGAGCCCCGUAAGUCGACUGAGCAUUUGUCUUUUGUGUUUCGCGUUCAAAGAGUCAGGUUGUUUGGGAAUGCAGCCUAAAGCUGGUGGUAAAUCCCACCUAAAGCUAAAUACAGGCGAGAGACCGAUAGCGAACAAGUACCGUGAGGGAAAGAUGAAAAGUACUUUGAAAAGAGAGUUAAACAGUAUGUGAAAUUGCCAAGAGGGAAGCAUUUGGAGUUAGACUGACUUGUGGUCAAUCAACUUGGUCUUUGGACUGGGUGUACUUGACUGCGUAGUCUGCCAAUAGCAGUUAGUCCUAGUGGAAAAAACUAGAGGGAAGGUAGUCCUUCGGGAUAUUUAUAGACCUUUAGAAAAUACACUGGGACUGACUGAGGUAUGCAGUAGAUGCUAUUAAGGCUUCGUUUUGUGGGUGCUAGGCAAAGGUACUUUGUUGUUUCAGCUUGCUGAUCUGCAGAGUUACUUGAGUCUAGUCGCUCAUAAAAACUG
rnacentral:rRNA from 1 species